rnacentral:ncRNA from 2 species
ACCCUGGAAUACAAACUUGUUCAUCCUUAUAAAGAGGAAGGGAAUCCGGUUUAAGUCCGGAGCUGAACCCGCAGCUGUAAUAGCCAACCAAGAUUUCGCAAAAAUACCACUGCUUUAAAUGCGCGAAGUCGGCGAGAGUCAGAAGACCUAACAAGUGAAACAAACUAAU